UUUAGAUACUGGAUCAGUAUCUACCAAGAAUGACAAAAUUAUGAGUCCCAGAACAGGCCUGGUUAUAAUAAGCACUCAAUAUAUACUUUUGAAAGAAUAAGUGGACUGACUACAGUUUAUCACAAGAUUUAGGUGGCACUAGUGGUAAAGAACCCGCCUACCAAUAGACAUAAGAGAUGCAGGUUCGAUCCCUGGGCUGGGAAGAUCCCCUGGAAAAAGAAAUGACAACCCGCUCCAGUAUUCUUGCUUAGAGAAUCCCCAUGGAUAGAAGAGCCUGGCGGGCUACAGUCCAUGGGGUCACAAAGAGUCAGACAUGACUGAAGUGACUUAACACGCACACAGAACAAGAUCACUUUAACCUCUGUUCACUUUGGAGGAGCGAGCAGUUACUAUAAGAGGGGCGAUCACUCAGGAUUGUCUUUUGUCACCUCUAAAUAAAAGGACAACUGAGAAGGGGUUGGAGAAACGUGGGGCAUUGGGUGAGCAAGAUGGCUCCUCUCUUGGACACCAUCAAGGAAGUGUCUUGUGUGGCGUCAUGCUCAGAGCCAGAAUUUGGUUGACUUCUUGUCCUUUUUUUUCUUAAUUUAUGUAUUUUUAAUUGAAGGAUAAUUCCAAUAUUGUGUUGGUUUCUGCCAUACAUCAAUAUGGAUCAAUAUGGAUCAGCCAUAGGUGUUCAUAUGUCCCCUCUCUCUUGAGCCUCCCUCCCACCUCCCACCCCAUCCUACCCCUCUAGGUUGUCACAGAGACCCGGUUUGAGUUCCCUUGACUUUUAAGAGGUUCUAGAGUUCUCCUGAGAUGGGAGCUGUAGUGUAGGUUAGUGAUUCUCAACAUAACCUAUUGUGUUUUGAAAUGUUUACUUUUCAAUAGCCCAUUUACCCUCUUGUCUGUGUGUGUGUUAGUCUCUCAGUCGUGUCCAACUCUUUAAAACCCCAUGGAUUGGGGCCCACCAGGCUCCUCCGUCCAUGGAAUUUUCUAGGCAAGAAUACUGGAGUGGGUUGCCGUUCCCUUCUCCAGAGGAUCUUACUGACCCACGGAUUGAACCUGGGUCUCCCUCACUGCAGGCAGACUCUUUACCAUCUGAGUCACUAGGGAAGACUACCCUGUAUUCUAUUGGAAGCUAAAACUAAACUAACACUAAAACUGAUAGUAAAGUCGUAUGCUUUUGCUAUAAAAAGUAUGAGUUCCAUGUUUCUGAUAUGAUAAUACUCCUACAGGGUGAUUCAUAGGUUAAACCAUUAGAACAGAAAAGAGGAAAUAUUUUUACUGGGCUAUGCUCUUCUUUUUAAAAACAAAUACUAUUUUUUAAAAAACCAUAUCACUGGCAUAGCAUUCAGCUCUUUUCACAAUUGAUUGUCUUUAAGCAUACAAUCUUUAACUGUGAAAUCAUUCAGAGAUAAUUAUUUUGGGGAGGAAAAUGACAAGAGAAAUAGUUAUGUAGUCAGUUUUUGAUUAUCCAUGAUGAUUUUGCCACUGGAAUUAAAAUCCCUUUUUAACAAAUAGCAACAGUUACCAUCUCUUUCUUUGCUAACUCUUAGAACAAAAUGUUUUAUUAGGAAACAGAACUGAAUUUUAUUUCUCCUCCUGAGCCUUGGGUCUGUCUUGUAUUUUUACUUUCUGUAGCACCUGAUGUUUCCCCCAUUUCAUCAGUGUGCUGGAGCUGGCUUGUACUGCGUGGAAAACCAAUCGUGUGUAUCUCUUUCCAGCUCCAUGUUCUGUUUCCCCACCUUGGUACCCUGAAGUCUGCCCCAAUGGGAGUAUUUAUACCAUGGAAAUUGACAAAGGCUGCAAAUCAGGGCUUUCCCCCAGAGUUAAUUAUUAAGCAUUUUGCCAGCACACUACUGCCCCACUCAGUCCUCACUUUUGUUUUGGAUAAAUAUCUCUAAACUGUAUUAUAUGUCAGCCUUUUUACAAACAGAGGAUGUGAAGGAAAAAGUCACUCUUCCUUGGCCUCAUUUUCAUGAUUCAUAUAUCUGUGUUUGCUUUUAGUGUCUCUUUCUUCAUGUUUCCCAUCAGGAGGCUUCUUCCUUUUGAAAGCAUUCCUCACUUCUAUUUUUUGACUCUGAUUACAGCCUGUGACUUAGAGAAACAAGUUCACUAGGUAUGCGUAUUGAAGAAAAACAAAUGAGAGUUUGUGGAGUUCUGUAAUAUUAAUAGAAUAAAGUUUGUGAGUACAGCCUUUGCCCAGAUCUUUUAUGACAACUAGUUUGAUUGCUAGGACUGGCUUCAUGGGCAUGAGAUCUGAGCAGUCACUCAGGGCCCAGUGCCCAGAAGGGCUUCACGCAUGGUGAAAUGCUCCACAGUCACCAUCUUGAAAUUCUGAAUACUUUUUGAGCAAGAGGUCCUGCAUUUUCAUUUUGCUCAGGGCCCCAUAAAUUAUGUAAGCAAUCCUGAUAGUUGUUCAGAUGUCUGUUUUACUUCUGAUUUUAGAAAGUUGAAUUUCUUAGAAGUCUGGUGUCUAGAUCAAUGGGAUGUUUCUAUAUCAACCACAGAUGAACGCUUGGUCAGAUCACUGUAAAUCCUAAGUAAGUAGCGAAAAAAAUAAUUGGUGGUGUUGUCAUUUAUUGUAUUUUGAUUUUUUUAAGGGAAUGCCCUAGAAAGGAAAAAGAUAUAAUGGUAAAUGAUUUAUCUUAAGUUUGAGUGUAUUUUCCUCAUUUGCAAGUAAGUACUUUUUGAUUCUCUUAUUAAUGCAUACUUUUAAAAUAAUUUUAUUAACAUAUUAGCUGCAUAUCACAAAAUUCACCAUUUAAGUGUACAAUUCAAUGACUUUUAACAAAUGUACACAGUUGUGCAGACAGCCCUGCAAUCUUCUUUAAAACAUUUCCGUCACCCCAAUGUGAUUGCUCCUGCCCAUUUGCAUUCACACCCUCUUCCCACCCCCAGCCCCUGGCAACUGCUAACCUACUUUCUACCUGAAUAGUUUUGCCUUUUGUGGACAUUUCAAAUAAGUGGACUAAUAAAAUAUAUGACCUUUUUGUGACUCACUUCAUUCACACAGUUUCAUGUUUUUGAGGUUCAUCCAUGAUAUCGCACAUAAAUGUACACUUUCAGGCAAAGAUUCAUAUGAGGUUUGUGCAGGGGAAAUAAUCUCUACUGUUCUUAUCUGUGAGUACGCAUUCAUUUUACCUCAAAUUUCCGUUUAGAAUGGAAAGGUAACCCAAGUGAAUUGCAAAGGAUCCCCAUUUUCAACAUUUGCCCACAUACCAUUUGGCACUUCCAGAUCAACCAUUUGCUCCACCUCCUAAGAAAGUUUACACUCUAUUUCUAAAAGUCUACAUGAGCUUCAUAUUUGAUUUCAGUUACUACCAAGUACACUUUCUGGAAUUAUCACUCAAUUGCAAAGAUAUUCUGGCAGUUAUAAAGAAGCUCUUUUGAGUUAGUGUUCAUCAGUAUUAAAAAUACAGUUUUCUUAGCUUAAAAACAGAGUAAAAAUACCUUGAAUUAGAAUUCAGGCUCUGGACUCAAACAACUCUCAGCUGAAAUCUUAGGUUUACUACUCAAAGUUGUGACCUUAAAUAAGUUACUUAAUCUCUCCAAGAUUCAAUUUUCUAUAAAGCUUUAUCAUUAUUUCUGUCAUUUUUAUUUACGCUGGC
ensembl:lncRNA